UCAUUUUUAGGCCUAAUUUUAGACUUAACCCAUAAUUCCUAAGCCCAUAAUUCAUAGGCCCAUACCCCUAAUCUAAAAAAAACCUAUAAAAUAAAAGAGACCCUAGGACCUAAUGGAGGAGAUCAGCCAUUUCUUCUUCUGAUUUUGAGGACCAACCUAGAGAAAAAUGAAAGAAGCUAUCAUCUUUAAUCCCUAGAGCUAACCGAACAAAGGGACUGAUCAACGGAAAAAUACAACAACAAAAAAGGACUAGACUUUAGGACACAAAAAAAGAUGCUAGCAGCUAAAGACCUAAAAACCUAGGGAGAUGAGCGCCAUUUUCUGAGAAUAGAGCUCUUCCCAUCGUCGCUUCUUCCUCAGAGAACCAAAUACCCGAAUUCCCCCAUAGUUCUUCACCAUCCUCAGCAUCUCCAAACCUUGAACACCCAAAACAACACACACCCAAAAAACAACCAGCACCCUAGAAGAACGCAACAACCAUAAACGGACCCCUCCAUGUCCUUCAUCUUCUUAAACAUUAGAAAACCAAGGAACCCAUCUUCUUCACGAUAAACUUGAAGCAGCGAAACAGAGCUCGACCAGCCGACAACAUUCAGUCCAAAACGGAAAUAAGUCAAGAACAGUAAAGAAAACAAAAUAAGUAAAAGUUGAAAACAAUAUGAGUCCAAAAGCUCAUUUCGAGUUCUUUUCUGGCGAGAUCUUCGGUCCAUCGAGGUUGCUGGUUCGAGGUUCGUUCGUGGGUGACCUUGAUUUCAACGUGAAUGGUUCGCAGUUAUACGAUCUGUUUAAUCAGGUUGGUCGUUACGUAUUUGAAUUCUCAAAGCAUUGAAUUUGCAUUUUCUUAUACGGUAUGUUAUGUCGCUUCUAAUUCGUUUGAAUUUGCACUUCUUAUAAGUGCUAUUAUGUCGUUUAUGGCAUCCAUCUUUAUAUAUAUAUAAAACUUUUAGAAGUACAAUCGCCUACUGAUUCUUUCCUUGAGUUUUCCUUAUUUAAAUCAUAUUGCCGAGUUGUUACUUGUAUUUGAAGUUAGAUAUUACAAUAGAUGGAUGUUUGGUUUUGGUUUGUGCUCAAAGGAAAUUGACUGAUUUCAAAUAACCAUUUUGUGGCUUUAUAUUUAGAAGUCAAUGAGUUUUAUCAAAAUUAGACUCACAGAUGCAAAGUUUGAAAGGUCUUGUUGUAUUUUGUUGAUCUUCUGAAGGAGAAGUCUUAUUCCAUUGCUAAAUCGUAUAUGGUAGUAUUGAGUGUUGGUGAUAAUUGUAAAGAUAUGUUAAGAGAUAGCACGUUAGUAUUUGUGGAAUUCGAUUUUGUUCGAUUGUUAUAGUUGAAUACAAAUCUCUUCUUUAAAGAAAUUGAGGCGCGCCAUUCACACAAUUGAAUCACAUAGCUUAUGGCCAUCAUAUUAAUUUUACAACUUAGUGUAGAAAACACUUUGAAUUCUCGUAGUUUGCUUUAGGCCCGUUGAUUAAAAAGUGUCAUAGCUACGGGUACGGUUUCCGUGACGUAGUUGUGACACACAAUUUCCAAAUCUGGGUGUGCAUUUCAUGUGACCCGACUUCAAUAUCCAAUAAUGUUUAAUAAAUAAAUAUGUCAUGAACCGCGAGUGCAUUUCAUGUAGCGUGGCUUACGAUAUGUUUUAAAUAACCUUGAAUUUUCCUGAAAUACUAAAAGCGGCUAGAAAGUUUAAAAAAUGCACAUAGGUUUUAAAAUGUGUAAUUACAUCAAAUAAUUAUGUCAAUAAUAACAGUUGAGCGACCUUGCUAAAAUCACGGAACUCGGGAAUGCCUAACACCUUGUCACGACCCAAAAUCCCAACCCGGUCGUGAUGGCGCCUCUCGUGAGGACAAGGCCAGCCAAUCAACAAAACAGUACAUCUCUUUAUAAUUACUUAGCAGGAAUAAGUCUAAAUCAUGGGCAAUAUAAUCUUAAAUGCGAAAUAAACGUAAUAGAACAAGGAAAACCCUCCCAACUCAGCCCGAAAUCGGGGUGUCACAAGUCAUGAGCUACUACAGAGUUUACUAAUAUUUUACAAAGUCUGGANNNNNNNNNNNNNNNNNNNNNNNNNUCAUCUCAACAUAGCAGUAUGUUGUGCAAUCCGGGGUUUCAAACCCUUAGUGCAUCAUUUAAAAUCAUUACUCACCUCAAGACGGUCCAAUGUCUACUCCGCUAUGCCCUUGCCUCUCGAAUUUACCUCUUCGCGCGUCGAAUCUCAAGAUUUCCUGCUAAAGUCGCCCAAAAUCCGAGCUUGGAAGUCAAAAAAAUGACCAAACUCGGACUGCUGGACAUUAAAUCUGUCCAGAAAUUUUCGGUACUGUUCAUGCGGGGGCACUGUUCAUGCGCAUGAUGUGACUGUUCAUUGUUCACCCGCGCGGUUACUAUUCACGCGCGGUUACUGUUCACUGCUGCAGAAAAUACAGCAGCUUUUAAGAAAUUUGCAGCACAACCAUUUUUCACUAAAAUGACUCUAACUCCAUCAUACGAACUAGGAAUUAGACGAUUCUUGUUCCUAUGAGUCACAAAUAAUAAUACGAACACAACCCUUCAAUCGAAACUCAAUUCAAAGCUCGUUUGCCCAGUUGAAUACCCAUUUCGCUCGUUAAACAAUUAACUCACAUUUCACGUCAAAAACCCAAUCGCGACUUGAUGAAAUUAAACCAAAAUUUCCAGACCAGUCUUAUAAUUCAUGAUUUAAAUUCUGGAAGCCUGAAAUCUAAUUUGGAUCUCUAGAACUAAAAAUGAACCUUUAGAUCAUUACAUUUAUGCUCAAAACGGCAAAAUAUUUCCAAAAAUGACCCGUUGGGCAUCCGAAACACACCCGAGGCCCUCGGGACCUUAACCAAUUAUAUCAACAUGUCCCACAAUAUCAUUCAAACUUGUCCCAACCUUCGGAACAACCAAAACAACAUCAAAAUAUUAAAUCAUCAUCGGAUUCAAGGCUAUGAAUCUCAAGAACUUUCAAAUUCCAUUUUUGAUCAAAAACCCAACCAAACCACGUCCGAAUAACCUCAAAUUUUGUAGACAAUUCCAAAAUGACAUAACGAAGCUACAACAACUCUCGGAAUUUCAUUCCGACCCUCGGAUAAAAAUCUCACCUAUCAACUGGAAUUCGCCAAAAUACUAACUUUGCCAAUUCAAGCUUAAUUCUACACCGGCCAUCACAAAAAUAUUCCGGACACACUCCUAAGUCCCAAAUCACCUAACUAAGCUAUCCGAACCAUAAAAUUUGCAUUUCGAGCCCUCUAACACAUAAGUCAAUAUCCGGUUGACUUUUCCAACUUAAGCUUCCUUAAAAGAGACUAAGUGUAAGUUUUAUGAAAGUAUAUAAACUAAAAGUAAAAAAAAGAAGAAAUAUUUUUGUAAGUUUGUUUGUUGAUAAAAUAAAGUAAAAGAGUCAAAACUAAUUGAAAUAUCGAUAUUAGGCCUAAACUAACUAUUUUACGCUAAAAUGGGUGAAAUUUCGGGGAGGGUAAAAAAUAACAUGUCUACAGCUGCCCCUCUUUGACGGAAACGCAAAGAUUCAGACAAAGAAUGACUAGACAAGUUUUUUUGACCCGACCCUUAUUUAGAGAGGCCAAGAGCUGAAAGAAAGGAGAAUGUGACCGAGCCCUGGCAUCUGAGCUGCCUACAUAUCCUUGGAUAUAAAGGAAUCAGGCCAUGUGUAGUUCAGAAAUGAAUGAGGUGAUGGAGUAUGCCGAGGUGGAGCGCCGAUCGAUGUUCCGGUCCGCGGUCUCGUUAUUACAUCAAAAUCAAAAAUAAAAUAUUUCAAAAUCUACGAAGUCGAGAGUAGGGCAGUAUUUCUUAUAAGUUCCAUCUCAAAAAGAAAAAGGAAAAAAAAAAUUCCCUUGUUUCAGAAUUGGGGCAAAGUUUUUUAGAAUGGAUUCCAAAAGUUGUAAAUAAAUUAACUCCGUUGUCUUAGUUAUUUUGAGUCUUUAUGAUAUCCUUUCUUUCUAACCCUGUUCAAAAGCCACAUUACAGUCCAAAAGACCUCCUAGAUAAUCUUUGAGAGUGCUGAGUUUAGACAUGCCAAAAGUAUAUGAUAUUUUUACCAUGGUUAAUGCCUUGUCAUCUGUAGAAUUAGAGGAAAUAAGAAGAAAAGAACAAAAUGAGAGAGUCUUAUUGGUGAAAACCUUCACAGGCACUGUAAGGUGACGGUAAGUAGAGAGAAAGAACAGAAUGAAAGAGGCUUGAUGGUAAAAACCCUUUGGGCACUACAAGUCGAAUAAGGAUUGUGAAUCAGAUUGGAUAAUCGGAGCAUUGAAGCCCAGUUUCACAGCUUAGGGGUAUAACAGGAGUUGAACAUCAGACUUGCUUGAUAGAUUAGGCCACAUGUGCAUGUCAUGGUCAUUAGAGUUGGUAUCCACAUCUGAUAAAUUUUUACUUUGUAGUUUUUUUGUUAGGAAUCAUCUCUUUCCAUUGUCCUUUACUCUGUUCCUUUUGUCUCAUUUACUUCCUCUUCCUGAGUCUGUUUGGUCAGAAAAAGUGAGAAAUGACUUCAAAAUUUGCCACCAGCUUUCCAAUUGCAUAAACCGGGAUCUGGGUAGCACAUCAAAGUAGCGUAAGUCAGGAAAGAACAGCGUGCGCACUGAGUUGGUAACAAUCAGCGUGCUUUGGGAUUCAUGUGAAAUACAAAUGUUUGGUAUAUGUCAAUUCAUGAACAAUGAAAUAGAUCGAGGAUGUUGGGUGAACAGAUCAAAGGUAUUUUCGGUGAUAAGGUUGACAAAGAAAGUGGUUAACCAAUGAUAAGCAAGGUCCUCCAAGCGGAAAUCAAAGUUUUCACAUCAUCAAUAAUAUCCUUUGGGGUGUAUUUCCUCUUAUGAUUAGUAAGCUUAGGCCUUAUCAUACCACCUAUAAGGCUGCUACUUGCCUGCCGCUGCUCAUACACCUUGUCCUUCAGCGGACAUAUAUGGUUAUCAAUGAAUUCUCUCACUUUGAAUAGUUCUGAUUUGUUAAUGCAUGAAGCCUUAAACCUCCAUUCACAAUCUUCUGAAAUACAUAAUAAUGCAUAGUUGCAAAGAAUUAAUCAUUGUACAUAUGAUUAGCAUAAGUGUUUACAAAAAAAUUCACUCAUAUACACACGAAUACAAUUUGAUUAUUUUACAUACUGACAUCUAUAUAUAAAAAAUUUUAUACUACUGAAUUCAAUUAUAGUUAUAUGCAUUUAAAUACAAUGAAUACAACUGAAUACAAUAUUGGGUAUAUGCAUACACUUAAAACCAUAGUAGACAAAAUAAGAAAAUAAUUAGAGCCACUAUAAUGUAAUUAUACCAGUAAAAUACAUAUGAAUACAUGUAUUUAAGGACCAUAAACAAACAUAUGUUAACUACAUCUGUAAUAAUCAAGAGGAAAUCCACAAAUACGCAUAAAUACAACAACGUUAAACUUAGAGCUCGAAUCAAUAAUAGAAAAUACAAAAAAAAAACUUAAAUACAUGCAAACCUGACAGCAUUAGACCUAUCAAUCCGGAAUUGAAACCUUUGAGCCAUAACAUAAUUCUCCAUCACCUCUUUCAAUGUAACCUUAUCCUUAUACACUUGUCCAACCAUAACCUCCCUUUGAUUAGUUUUUGAAAUUAUCAAAUCCUUGUGGAGUUCGAACACUCCAAUCGCUUCUCCUGAAUUGACAAAAUCUAGAGCCAGCGUAUCAUCUGUAUCGGAAUCGUUCCUUUGAACUGCUUCGUUUAUUUGCACAAUGUCGCCUUGAUUUAAACUACCUCCGGAUACAAGUUCUUUUUCAAUAGUUGUUAUGCACAAAGGAUACAUACCAAAUUCUCUGUUCUCUUUUUUCAAUUCUACAUACACUCUGUAACCCAUAUCAUUGUGUAUUUCCAUUGGCGUGCAAUUUCCUUCUACUUUAUAUUGAAUUUUAGUGGACUUUGAGCUCAAAUCUAUACCAGUUGAUUAGAAAUUGAAGCAACCAGAUCAUUAAAGGAGGCAUACUCUUUUAUGAGUAUUCCCUUAAUUGAAAAAUCGAUGUAAUUGCCCUCAUCGUUCCACUUGCCAGAAUGAUGCAACAACACUGUUAAACUUGCCAUAUGUAUAAAAGGAACUAUGUCGUAUUUUGUAUAUAAUUUGUAUCAAUCUAAUUUUCUGUGGUUGAAUUGAUAUCUGCGAAAAGAGAAAAAGGAGAAGUGAAUGGAAGAACUUCGAACAAAUGUUGCUCUGGUUUUCGCUGCUUUUUUUUUUUUUAGCUUGAAUCGUGUAUGGAAGAAUACAGAUUAAUGGGUACUAGUUUUUGUUAGUUGAGUUAAAUUAGGAGAAUAUCAUGUGAUUUGAUUUCCUUCCAUUAUUAACUAGUUUAACCUUCCAGAUUUUGCGCAAAUACGUUACUGUAUUCACAUUAAUGUCGCGUGAAUACAGUUAAAUACAUAUCAACCUUAGCUGGAAUUCCCUUUUUAACGCCUAUUUUUUCUAUUGUAUUAAUGAAUACAAUAGUUUAAAUACAUAAAAUACAUUGUAUAAAACAUAAAAGGUAUCUAUAACACGUAAUAUAGCAAAAAGUAUCUAUAAAUGGCUAAUUAGACCUAAAAGAUGGUGCUUUAUGAAGCCUUAUUUGGUCGCCCCCAUUUAGCCUAUACCCAUUUUUUUUAAACUUUUAACUUGUACCCACUUUUUAAAUAACUUCAGUCCCCUUUCUCCUCCUUCUUCUCCUCCUCAAAGUUAUAUCCGCCUCUUCUUUCUCAAACUUCUCCUUCUCCCUUUUUUACAAGAAAUCUGUUACAGCUAUGUAUAUAACCUGUAUUCACACAAAGAAAAUCCACAAUUAACAACAACCAUAAUUUCAGCUAUUAAAGAAAAAUUAAGAAACUUAUAAUUAAUUACCCCUAUAGUGAGAAUGGAUAAGCCAAGAAAAGCAACAAAAAGGAGAGAUCAAUCCUGGCCAUUAAAAUUUCUAGGAGCAUUCACUACUGGUAUUUGACACUAGCUAUAUGGAAAAGAGCUAUGUAAAUGCUAUCUGCUACAAGUCAAUUAUUUUGCAGGCUGUAAGUAAUCAUUUUAACUAGUUUGGCUAGAGAAUAUUGUGGAGUUACUGAAUCAGGACCUGAUCUCGCAAUCUCACGUUCAUGUGCUUCUUGUUAAUUAGAUGUGACGUUUUUUUUAUAAGGUAAACUAGAUUUGACGAGUUUGAUAGCAAUGACAAUGUAAAAUACUAUUGCUGACAAAAAUAACCGGGUAAAGAUUAUAACUUUUAUAUAGAUAUAUAAGCCAGUUACAAAACAAAAACUUUCGCCAGUUACAAAAACAAAAACUUCAGCUCUAGAGCUGAAGUUCGCCAGUUACAAACAAAAACUUCAGCUCCAGAGCAGAAGUUCGCUAGUUACACAACAAAACGUCAGCUCUAGAGCUGAACUUCAGGCCCGACUAUUAGAAUGCUGAAGUUUUGCGUGAUUGCCUUUGCUACUUCAGCCCCGUAUGCUGAAGUUAUGCGUAAAAGCGAGUACGCUUGUACUUUUUUUUUGCAAAGCGGACACAAAUUAAAACAUGACAUAAAAAACGGGUAUAGAUACAAAUGCCCGAAAAAACACAUUAACUCUAAAGAGGCACCAUCAGUCGUAACUAAUCGGAGAGCAUAAAGGAGAUAAAAUAAUACAAAAAGGCUUGCAAACAAUGACGCACAGUAAUUGAAAGAGACAAAGCGUUGCUGUUUAAGUUGACUAACUUCUACAUGAGAAGCUAGUGAAGGAACCUAAGUGAUCAGGUAAAUUUAUAUCUAUUCCUAUCCUUUAGUAGCAUAAUUAAUUAAAUAGUAGUAAUAUAAUUAUCAAUGUAUAUUUUGAUAAUGAUUAAGACAAUGAUAAAAAGAAAUAAUUAUAAUGAGGAGUGACUUUUAAAGAUGAGAUAUAAGAUUUAGGAAUUUGAAAACAAGAUUUUUAUACUGAUUUGCUUCAGUAACGAAUUUGUAUCAGUUAGUACAUUAGAAUAUAGGAACAAUCAUUAUGUCAUGAGUUUAGUAAUGCAUAAGCUAAAAAUAAUGAGAAUAAUGGUUAGGAAUUUAACUAUUAUAUGAAAGUUGUAGAUAUUUGCAUGUUAGAAAGGAAUGGUAUAAGCAGGUGAGUUCUUCUAAGACGUUACAUUGCAGCGUUACAGUACCUAGUUUGGCAUUUAUUUGUAUACAAAUUUUUAUUAAUUAGAUCUUGGCUUUAAUUUUGGCUUGUCCUAAAUUUAUGAAAGUUACUCAACUAGACUAAUUAGGACGUGUUAUUUAAUAUUUUGGAUGGAUUGAGGUCAUUGGAAACCGUUUAGCUGGUAUUCUAGAUGUUGUAAGGUUGAGAAACUUCCCGUUAGCAAGGUAAGAGAGACUUUAAACUUUGGGUGUUUGCUUUUUCUAAAAUUUGUUUUGAAAGUAUAAUUUUUUUCUACCUAGUCCAUGUGUUGGAACGAGCGUGCGCUUGGCAGAAUCGGCGGUAUUUGACCAGCCACAAAUAUAUAUUAUUUUGUAAAAAGCUAAAAUUAUUUAAUAAGUGAUUUGUAGUGUAGUGUGAUGUGGCGUAGCCUUGUGCUUGUUGGGGCAUUAGAAAUUAUUUUUUCGCUGCCGUAAUAUAUUUGGGGCAUUGUGUAUGCCGCCGUGAUAGAUUUAGGGCACUGUAUAUGCUGCCGCUAUAUAUUUAGGGCAUUGUGUAUGCUGCGGUGAUAGAUUUUAGACAUUGUGUAUGUCGCCGUGAUAGAUUUGAGGCACUGUGUAUGCUGAUGUGGACUCGUCGGGGUGUUUGAUUAAUUUCCUGCAAUGUCGUUAAUGACAAGUUCUUAAUGUAGAUUGUGUUGAGAUAUAAAUAAUAUUAUUAUUGCAUAAUUGUUUGGACCUUAUAGAGAAAUUAUAUGAUGAAAGAUUUAUGCGCUCGUUGUGUAUUUGUAUUUUCUAAAACUUGUUCCACAGUUAUUCAGUUUGGUGGGUCGAUGAUCUUACUGGGUUAUAUUUACGUAUAACUCACUCCUUACCUGCAUGUCCAUGCAUAUACUAUUGAUGAAGACGGAGCUAGUAGCUGACGAGUUCGCUAGAGUUGAUUCAGUUAUUGAGGUAAGCCGCCGCAUUAUUCGUGGAGGCUGCCAAAAGAAUUUUUAUUAUAUAUUCAUAUGAUGUCUUUUGUAAUUCUCUUAGAUGCUCCAU
rnacentral:lncRNA from 1 species